UCCUACGGGAGGCAGCAGUGAGGAAUAUUGGUCAAUGGAGGCACCUNANCCAGCCACGCGCGUGCAGGAAGACNGCCCUAUGGGUUGUAAACUUUUUAUAGGAAGAAACUCAGUNACGNGUAGAUUUCUGCCAGUAUUCUAUGAAUAAGCAUCGGCUAACUCCGUGCCAGCAGCCGCGGUAAUACGGAGGAUGCAAGCGUUAUCCGGAUUUAUUGGGUUUAAAGGGUGCGUAGGCGGGACAUUAAGUCGGGGGUGAAAUCUUGCAGCUUAACUGUAGCAUUGCCUUAGAUACUGCUUUUCUUGAGUACAGGUGAGGUAGGCGGAAUUUGGUGUGUAGCGGAGAAAUGCAUAGAUAUGGCGCAGCACCCCGAUUGCGAAGGCAGCUUUCUAAGCUAUUACUGACGGUGAGGCACGAAAGCGUGGGGAUCAAACAGGAUUAGAUACCCUGGUAGUCCACGCAGUACGGAUUACUCGUUGUUAGCGAUACACAGUCAGUGNCGCAGCGAAAGCANUAAGU
rnacentral:rRNA from 1 species